GACGAACGCUGGCGGCGUGCUUAACACAUGCAAGUCGAACGAUGAAGCUGGAGCUUGCUCCGGUGGAUUAGUGGCGAACGGGUGAGUAACACGUGAGCAAUCUGCCCUUGACUCUGGGAUAACUGCGGGAAACUGUAGCUAAUACCGGAUACUUUCACUGGAAGGCAUCUUCUGGUGAAGAAAGAAUUUCGGUCAAGGAUGAGCUCGCGGCCUAUCAGCUUGUUGGUGAGGUAACGGCUCACCAAGGCGACGACGGGUAGCCGGCCUGAGAGGGGAACCGGCCACACUGGGACUGAGACACGGCCCAGACUCCGACGGGAGGCAACAGUGGGAAAUAUUGCACAAUGGGCGCAAGCCUGAUGCAGCAACGCCGCGUGAGGGAUGAAGGCCUUCGGGUUGUAAACCUCUUUUAGCAGGGAAGAAGCGAAAGUGACGGUACCUGCAGAAAAAGCACCGGCUAACUACGUGCCAGCAGCCGCCGUAA
rnacentral:rRNA from 1 species